CCUACGGGAGGCAGCAGUGAGGAAUAUUGGUCAAUGGACGAGAGUCUGAACCAGCCAAGUAGCGUGAAGGAUGACUGCCCUAUGGGUUGUAAACUUCUUUUAUAUGGGAAUAAAAUGUUCCACGUGUGGGAUUUUGUAUGUACCAUAUGAAUAAGGAUCGGCUAACUCCGUGCCAGCAGCCGCGGUAAUACGGAGGAUCCGAGCGUUAUCCGGAUUGAUUGGGUUUAAAGGGAGCGUAGGUGGAUUGUUAAGUCAGUCGUGAAAGUUUGCGGCUCAACCGUAAAAUUGCAGUUGAAACUGGCAGUCUUGAGUACAGUAGAGGUGGGCGGAAUUCGUGGUGUAGCGGUGAAAUGCUUAGAUAUCACGAAGAACUCCGAUUGCGAAGGCAGCUCACUGGACUGCAACUGACACUGAGGCUCGAAAGUGUGGGUAUCAAACAGGAUUAGAUACCCGUGUAGUC
rnacentral:rRNA from 1 species